rnacentral:rRNA from 1 species
AUCGAACGCUGGCGGCAGGCCUAACACAUGCAAGUCGAACGAGUGGCGGAUGGGGGAGUAAUGUCUGGGCAACUGCCUGAUGGAGAGGGUUAACUACUGGAAACGGUAGCUAAUACUGCAUACCAUCAGAUGUGCCCAGAUGGGAUUAGCUAGUUGGUGGGGUAACGGCUCACCAAGGCGACGAUCCCUAGCUGGUCGGAGAGGAUGACCAGCCGCACGGGAACUGAGACACGGACCAGGGUCCUGCGGUAGGCAGCAGUGGGGAAUAGUGCGCAAUGGGCGCAAGCCUUAUGCAGCCAUGCCGCGUGUGUGAAGGAGGCCUUCGGGUUGUAAAGUACGUUCGGCGGGGGGGCGUUACCCGCAGAAGAAGCACCGGCUAACUCCGUGCCAGCAGCCGCGGUAAUUC